rnacentral:rRNA from 1 species
UACGAAGGGGGCUAGCGUUGCUCGGAAUCACUGGGCGUAAAGCGCACGUAGGCGGACUCUUAAGUCGGGGGUGAAAGCCCAGGGCUCAACCCUGGAAUUGCCUUCGAUACUGGGAGUCUUGAGUUCGGAAGAGGUUGGUGGAACUGCGAGUGUAGAGGUGAAAUUCGUAGAUAUUCGCAAGAACACCAGUGGCGAAGGCGGCCAACUGGUCCGAAACUGACGCUGAGGCGCGAAAGCGUGGGGAGCGAACAGG